rnacentral:tRNA from 1 species
AGCAGCGUGGCUCAGUGGAAAGAGCCUGGGCUUCGGAGUCAGAGGUCAUGGGUUUGAUUCCCGCCUCUGUCA